rnacentral:piRNA from 1 species
UAAAAUGUUCUAUUCUUCAGAGAAGCUCUUU